UAUCCUCCUGAAAGACAAAGUAGAGGACAUUCCACAAAAGAGGACAAAUCAGAUGUCAAUUCCCAGCCUGCCUUUCUCCGAGUGUUCCAAUGGAUUCUUCAACCUCAGCUCUCCCUCAAGAGUUCCAGUAAUCCAAAGAAAAACCUGAUAGCAUCCCACGUUCUGCUUCCAUGAAAAGGGCUGGGCUACUUGUGACCUCGGGCCAGACACGGAGACAAGCGAGCUCCUCCCUCGCAGCAGCUCCCGCCCUCACUCACUGGUAAGAAGCUCCACUCCUGAGUUUUGGGGUCAUACUUCUCCACCACGUCGAUGGGAGACUGCUGGCUUCCAAAGCCCCCAACCACCAGAAGCACUUCAUUGGCUCCUGCGGAGAAAGGUGGGUCACGUCACUGUCCCUGUCACCAGCGAGGGCACCGCCCCACCCUGUGCCGUCCACCCGUGGCAGCUCCUUCCUUCCUCACCCAGAAAGGGGGGGGGACGGGUGGCAGUGUACCCCGUGCUACAGGGCAUUCGAAGAAAUUCCCAGUUCACAGAUUCCAAAUACACUGGAACAAUACUUGACGACUUAUGAAAUGCUUCCGAACCCUUUGUCUCAUUCAAUCCUCCAAACAGUGAUGCGAAACGGGGCAGAAAGCUCGGGGCUAACUAAGGUGACUUGUCUAACGCAAU